GCAGACGGAGAAAACCACAUCGAUGAAGCUGAGGUUGCCAGGGUUAAGGUGGAUCCAGAGCUUAUGCUGAGAACCACAGGACACAAAAAAUUCCAGGAGGUCAGCAGUUUUUGAAAUACUGAAACCAUACUAUCUGGCACAAACAACCAUGCCAUGGUAAAAGAGUUGGUACUUUUCCCCUUUUCUUAUACUUUUUGUGAACAUUAACAGAGUGUACAUGUGUCCCAAUUAAAGUGGACAUUAGUGCAUAUUAUCAACACACAGUAACCCCAUUUCUGUUUCGGUGAUUUCUUUGUUAAUGUAAAAAAAAAAACAUUCUAUUACAAAAACAUUCUCUUACCCUACAAACUGAACUCACAACCUACAUUUACAUGGUAUUUGCAUUGAUUGACUUGGAAAAUGGCUUUUAUUCAAAGUUGUUUUCCAAUGUCACACCUAACCUAAAUGUACUAGUACGAACUAGUUUUAGUGCUCUGCUCAUUGAAAUAAAUAAUUCUAGAUUUGUUAAACUAGAUCAAGCCCCACAAGCAUGACACAAACUAUCUCAAAACUCUGGGCUUCUAGUAAUUCCUAGAAUAGCAAAGUCCACUAAAGGUGGUAGAGCAUUUUCACAUUUAGCUCCUAAACUCUGGAAUAGUCUUCCUGACAGUG